CAAUAGCGUAUAUUAAAGUUGCUGCGGUUAAAAGCUCGUAGUUGGAUCUCGGGGACAGGCUUGCGGUCCACCUCGCGGUGGUUCUUACUGCUUGCUACCUGUACUCAUGAGCUGGUCGUUGAAAUAUACCUCUGGACCCCUGGUGCUCUUCGCUGAGUGUCUUGGGUGGCCAGCGCGUUUACUUUGAAAAAUUAGAGUGUUCAAAGCAGGUAAAGUCGCCUGUAUAAUGUUGCAUGGAAUGAUGGAAUAGGACCUCGGUUCUAAUUUCGUUGGUUUUGCGGAGCUCGAGGUAAUGAUUGAGAGGGACUGCCGGGGGCAUUCGUAUUGCGGUGGGAGAGGUGAAAUUCUUGGAUCAUCGCAAGACGAACGACAGCGAAAGCAUUUGCCAAGAAUGUCUUCCUUAGUCAAGAACGAAAGUCAGAGGUUCGAAGAUGAUCAGAUACCAU
rnacentral:rRNA from 1 species